AACGAACGCUGGCGGCAUGCCUAACACAUGCAAGUCGAACGAGACCUUCGGGUCUAGUGGGGCACGGGUGGGUAACGCGUGGGAACCUGCCCUUAGGUUCGGAAUAACUCACCGAAAGGGGUGCUAAUACCGGUUAAUGUCAUCGGACCAAAGAUUUAUCGCCUUUGGAUGGGGGCGCGUUGGAUUAGCUAGUUGGUAGGGUAAAAGCCUACCAAGGCGACGAUCCAUGGCUGGUCGGAGAGGAUGAUCAGCCACACUGGGACUGAGACACGGCCCAGACCCCUACGGGAGGCAGCAGUGGGGAAUAUUGGACAAUGGGCGAAAGCCUGAUCCAGCAAUGCCGCGUGAGUGAUGAAGGCCUUAGGGUUGUAAAGCUCUUUUACCCGGGAUGAUAAUGACAGUACCGGGAGAAUAAGCUCCGGCUAACUCCGUG
rnacentral:rRNA from 1 species